GUGGGGAAUAUUGGACAAUGGGCGAAAGCCUGAUCCAGCCAUGCCGCGUGUGUGAAGAAGGUCUUCGGAUUGUAAAGCACUUUAAGUUGGGAGGAAGGGUUGUAGAUUAAUACUCUGCAAUUUUGACGUUACCGACAGAAUAAGCACCGGCUAACUUCGUGCCAGCAGCCGCGGUAAUACGAAGGGUGCAAGCGUUAAUCGGAAUUACUGGGCGUAAAGCGCGCGUAGGUGGUUCGUUAAGUUGGAUGUGAAAGCCCCGGGCUCAACCUGGGAACUGCAUCCAAAACUGGCGAGCUAGAGUACGGUAGAGGGUGGUGGAAUUUCCUGUGUAGCGGUGAAAUGCGUAGAUAUAGGAAGGAACACCAGUGGCGAAGGCGACCACCUGGACUGAUACUGACACUGAGGUGCGAAAGCGUGGGGAGCAA
rnacentral:rRNA from 1 species